rnacentral:lncRNA from 1 species
UGCCACAAGAGCUUGGUCCUUAUGUGUGGCAGUUCACCAUUUCAGCAGGAUGUAUAUACGGAAACUAAAGAGAAAGAAUGUUCAGAUAAAACAGUAAUUCAAAUAAUCCAUAGAAUCAAGAAUUUAUGUUGCCACCCCUGUAACAUGGGAAGAUCAUGGCAGUUUUCAAUUGUGGAUUUAUAAUAACAAUCUAGCAUCUAAUAUUCAGGAUGCUACAACAAACAAACUUAACAACUCAAUUUCAGAACAUUACUUGAUCUCAAAAACCAAACCACGCACAUCAACAAAGCUACCUGACGGUGAGAUAGCAUAGCCCAUAGCAAAGAUCAGGUAAAAACAGUAAUUCAGAUAGCUCAUAGCAAAGAUGCUACGGUUACCAGUCAAAAUGCCCAGUUAAACGGAACCUGUUAGAUAGCAUAGCAUAAGUACUGCAAGGGCACAGUAAACCUGGAUCAGGAUUUGAGGAUAUUAUAUAAAUGCGGUCUAUGGAUAUGGCCAGAUGAAAUAGUGGGUCUCAUCAUCAUCUUCUGCUUCUGGCAUCCCAUAAUCUUCUUGCAUCUCCAAGAACGGAAGUGGAAUGAUAUUCUCCUGGAAGCUAUAUGGUGUAAUGUGCACACGGCUUUCCUCACACUCACUGCAUUUCACGUGUCCCAGAAACUUACCAUCAAUGUCACAGCGCACAAUAUGCCCAGCAUCAAGCUCGAUGAGCAACUCGUGCUUGCCGAGCACAGCAAUCUUGCGUAAACAUCUCACCCUUAGAUCAGGUGGUAGGGACGCCUUCAGCCCAGAUAGGUCAAUCCGAUACUUGAAGGCCCAGACCUCAGCCUCAUAGUCCUGCAUCAUGUGGAUAUCUACAACAAUGCCAUCGGAACUGGUGCACAUAGCAACCACACUGUCAAUCUCCAACAACAAUGUCCAAAAGCUCAUUCCGGUGGGACGGCUCAUCCACCUAAACGUCUCAUCAGCAGUGUUGAACAGUAGAAUUUUGCUGGUGUCAGAGUGGUACCGUUCUUUUAGAUCCCAAUGCAGGCUGCCACGGUGGAGAAUAGAUACAUUAGACGAACAGGUCAGUCCAUCUAGUAGGUCUUGUUCCAUAGGUGGGUGUCCAUCCAGUAGGUCUUGUUCCAUAGGUGGUUGUCCUAUGGAACUAGGCUCAUCAGAUCCCACCGAGAGGACGUAGAAAUAAGUCGUGAAAGCGAAACCGUUCUCAUUCCUUGUGCAAAUUGAGUAGAGCACACGGUAUUCUCUGCAGAGGCAAUGCUGGUAGAAUCCUGCUAUGCGAAUGCUUGUAACUGAAGCACGACAUUUUGUGUUGGAAUUAACCACGAGUCCUAGUCCGGCUUGGACUUGGAACCAUCACCAUGUAGGUAUAGGAUUAGUAGUUGUCUUGGUUAGCUACUAUAUAUACGUACAAGUACCCCUGUAAUAUUGGAUCAGAUCAAAGCAAUACAAUCAAAGGCUCGAUACGAGCCUCUGGCAAUCAUCUCGGCGUCUUCAAUGUUUCGUGUGCGUGUUCCGUUGCUUGAACUGGUGCUGGUUCGAUCAGCCUUGAGGUUGUGCAAGCUAGUUCACAUCUGCUACGUGAGAAUCCAUCCAGCUGCAUGCCUGCCUGCUAGCUAGCUUUGUACGUGCACCUUGUCUCAGGAAGAAUCGAUCGAUCGUGGUAUUGUACGUACGAGUUCGGUCGACGGAAAGUACUCGUCAAGGAGCCGACGUACAACGCUUGAUCGGGCCUUUGCCAACAUUUUGGUCCAGGAAGCAGCAACAGGGGAGCAAGUUGGCGGGUCGUUGGAUUGCAGAUAUCGAAGCGUCUGCCACGAUCUUUGUAAGAGAUGACGAGGAGGCCAUCACAGGAAGCAUGGAUAGUGAGGCUGUCUACAUCCUGCUUGUGGUCAGCAUACCAGAGGAUGGGUCGGAGCUUGCAGCUGGUAGCCCCGGCAUGGUCACCGCAGAAGACGCAGAGAUGGCCGUCAUAGAAUCUGUUGUCACGGUUGAGGCAAUCGAUGAGAAGGAGCGAGGGCUGGCGACGGUGGUGAGCGAGAAGGAAGUCGCGGGCGGAGGUGGCAUGGCACCACAACUUGCACACAGCACGGCAGCGAAGGAUGUCCUCUGCUGGCAACCUGAUGAGUAUCUCCCCGGCAAUGAUCGACUCUGGCAAGUCAUCGAGGACGGUCACACAGCUACUGUCUAGCUUCGACAUGGUGAUUGAUUGCCGCUGCUCCAUCUGAUGAUCAACUACAAAGAUGCAAA